rnacentral:misc_RNA from 1 species
AAGUCGUAACAAGGUCUCCGUAGGUGAACCUGCGGAGGGAUCAUUACAGAGAACAUCGCCCUCACGGGUGACUCUCCAACCCUUAUGUUAUUAAAACCUUUGUUGCUUUGGCGAGCCGCUUCGGCCACCGGCGUCUUGCUGGUGUGCGCUCGCCAGAGGACCCCAAACUCUUGUUUAUUAAUGUCGUCUGAGUACUAUAUAAUAGUUAAAACUUUCAACAACGGAUCUCUUGGUUCUG